rnacentral:misc_RNA from 1 species
AACAAGAUCAACUCUAGUUGAGAGUUGGGAUUGGCCUUAUGUACGUGUUAUUAGUGUAUUUGGCUUGAAUAUAUCGAGUUGAUGAGCUUCCCAGUGCGGCUCAAUGUGUGCUAGCGAGACAGUCGUCCCGAUCUCACAUUAUUGUCGCAUUGCAGAGUUCUGUCCACAGCUCGCUAAAAUAACUUAUCAA